UACAGAGGGUGCGAGCGUUGUCCGGAAUUACUGGGCGUAAAGGACGCGUAGGCGGCUUGGUAAGUCGGGGGGUGAAAGUCAGCGGCUCAACCGCUGGACUGCCUUCGAGACUGCCUGGCUUGAGCAUGGUAGAGGCUGGCGGAAUUCCCAGUGUAGCGGUGGAAUGCGUAGAGAUCGGGAAGAACAUCGGUGGCGAAGGCGGCCAGCUGGGCCAUUGCUGACGCUGAUGCGCCGACAGCG
rnacentral:rRNA from 1 species